rnacentral:rRNA from 1 species
CGCGAACGUUGGCGGCGUGCCUAACACAUGCAAGUGGUGGGGCAGCAGGCUACUGUCUUUUGGCAGUAGUGCUGGCGACCGGCAAACGGGUGAGUAACACGUAGCUUACCUACCCAUAGGUUGGGGAUAACAUCCCGAAAGGGGUGCUAAUACCCAAUAAUGAGGAGACUCCAAAGCCCUUAUGGGCGCCUAUGGAUGGGGCUGCGUCCCAUCAGCUAGUUGGUGAGGUAAUGGCUCACCAAGGCUACGACGGGUAACCGGUCUGAGAGGAUGACCGGUCACAGUGGGACUGAGACACGGCCCGCACCCCUACGGGGGGCAGCAGUGGGGAAUAUUGGGCAAUGGCCGAAAGGCUGACCCAGCAACGCCGCGUGGUGGAUGAAGCCCUUCGGGGUGUAAACACCUUUUCUGGGGGAAGAUAAUGACGGUACCCCAGGAAUAAGGGACGGCUAACUACGUGCCAGCAGCCGCGGUAAUACGUAG